GAUGAACGCUGGCGGCGUGCCUAAUACAUGCCAGUCGAGCGAACAGACGAGGAGCUUGCUCCUUCGACGUUAGCGGCGGACGGGUGAGUAACACGUAGGUAACCUACCUAUAAGACUGGGAUAACUUCGGGAAACCGGAGCUAAUACCGGAUAAUAUUUCGAACCGCAUGGUUCGAUAGUGAAAGAUGGCUUUGCUAUCACUUAUAGAUGGACCUGCGCCGUAUUAGCUAGUUGGUAAGGUAACGGCUUACCAAGGCAACGAUACGUAGCCGACCUGAGAGGGUGAUCGGCCACACUGGAACUGAGAAACGGUCCAGACUCCUACGGGAGGCAGCAGUAGGGAAUCUUCCGCAAUGGGCGAAAGCCUGACGGAGCAACGCCGCGUGAGUGAUGAAGGUCUUCGGAUCGUAAAACUCUGUUAUUAGGGAAGAACAAACGUGUAAGUAACUGUGCACGUCUUGACGGUACCUAAUCAGAAAGCCACGGCUAACUACGUG
rnacentral:rRNA from 1 species